UACGUAGGGUGCAAGCGUUGUCCGGAAUUAUUGGGCGUAAAGCGCCCGCAGGCGGCUUGAUAAGUUUCAGGUGAAAUCUCCUGGCUUAACUGGGAGGGGUCCUGGAAAACUGUCAGGCUUGAGGCAGGGAGAGGGAUGUGGAAUUCCCGGUGUAGUAGUGAAAUGCGUAGAUAUCGGGAGGAAUACCAGUGGCGAAGGCGGCAUCCUGGCCCUGUCCUGACGCUCAGGGGCGAAAGCGUGGGGAGCAAACCGG
rnacentral:rRNA from 1 species